UACAGAGGUCUCAAGCGUUGUUCGGAUUCAUUGGGCGUAAAGGGUGCGUAGGCGGCGCCGUAAGUCAGGUGUGAAAUUUCGGAGCUUGACUCCGAAACUGCAUUUGAUACUGCGGUGCUUGAGGACUGGAGAGGAGACUGGAAUUUACGGUGUAGCAGUGAAAUGCGUAGAGAUCGUAAAGGAAGACCAGUGGCGAAGGCGGGUCUCUGGACAGUUCCUGACGCUGAGGCACGAAGGCCAGGGGAGCAAACGGG
rnacentral:rRNA from 1 species